GAUGAACGCUGGCGGCGUGCUUAACACAUGCAAGUCGAACGAAGCACCUUGAUUUGAUUCUUCGGAUGAAGAUCUUGGUGACUGAGUGGCGGACGGGAGAGUAACGCGUGGGUAACCUGCCUCAUACAGGGGGAUAACAGUUAGAAAUGACUGCUAAUACCGCAUAAGACCACAGCACCGCAUGGUGCAGGGGUAAAAACUCCGGUGGUAUGAGAUGGACCCGGGUCUGAUUAGGUAGUUGGUGGGGUAACGGCCUACCAAGCCGACGAUCAGUAGCCGACCUGAGAGGGUGACCGGCCACAUUGGGACUGAGACACGGCCCAAACUCCUACGGGAGGCAGCAGUGGGGAAUAUUGCACAAUGGGGGAAACCCUGAUGCAGCGACGCCGCGUGAGCGAUGAAGUAUUUCGGUAUGUAAAGCUCUAUCAGCAGGGAAGAAAAUGACGGUACCUGACUAAGAAGCACCGGCUAAAUACGUGCCAGCAGCCGCAGUAA
rnacentral:rRNA from 1 species